AUGGUGUCUCAUUUGCACAGGCCCAGAGGAGGCCUCAGCCUCGUCUGCAAGGCCUCAGGGUUCACCUUCAGCAAUAAUGGCAUGCAGUGGGUGCGACAGGCACCAGGAAAGGAGCUGGAAUGGGUCGCUGGUAUUAGCUAUGAUGGUAGUGAGACAGAAUAUGGUCCAGUGGUGCAGGGCCGUGCCACCAUCACGAGGGACAACGGGCAGAGCACAGUGAGGCUGCAGCUGAACAGCCUGAAGGACGAGGACUCGGCCAUGUAUUACUGCGCCAAAGAGGCUGGUGGUGGUUGGAGUACUGAUGCUUAUGGUGGUUAUGAGGCUGGUUUCAUGGACAGCACCUGGGCUCUGAUCUCCAGUAUUAUGGUUCUGGUCAUGGUCAUGGUUAUCAGCCAUCACUGA